rnacentral:rRNA from 1 species
UUUUGACCUGAGCAUAUCAAUAAGCGGAGGA